rnacentral:rRNA from 1 species
UUAAGCGACUAAGCGUACACGGUGGAUGCCCUGGCAGUCAGAGGCGAUGAAGGACGUGCUAAUCUGCGAUAAGCGUCGGUAAGGUGAUAUGAACCGUUAUAACCGGCGAUUUCCGAAUGGGGAAACCCAGUGUGUUUCGACACACUAUCAUUAACUGAAUCCAUAGGUUAAUGAGGCGAACCGGGGGAACUGAAACAUCUAAGUACCCCGAGGAAAAGAAAUCAACCGAGAUUCCCCCAGUAGCGGCGAGCGAACGGGGAGCAGCCCAGAGCCUGAAUCAGUGUGUGUGUUAGUGGAAGCGUCUGGAAAGGCGCGCGAUACAGGGUGACAGCCCCGUACACAAAAAUGCACAUGCUGUGAGCUCGAUGAGUAGGGCGGGACACGUGGUAUCCUGUCUGAAUAUGGGGGGACCAUCCUCCAAGGCUAAAUACUCCUGACUGACCGAUAGUGAACCAGUACCGUGAGGGAAAGGCGAAAAGAACCCCGGCGAGGGGAGUGAAAAAGAACCUGAAACCGUGUACGUACAAGCAGUGGGAGCACGCUUAGGCGUGUGACUGCGUACCUUUUGUAUAAUGGGUCAGCGACUUAUAUUCUGUAGCAAGGUUAACCGAAUAGGGGAGCCGAAGGGAAACCGAGUCUUAACUGGGCGUUAAGUUGCAGGGUAUAGACCCGAAACCCGGUGAUCUAGCCAUGGGCAGGUUGAAGGUUGGGUAACACUAACUGGAGGACCGAACCGACUAAUGUUGAAAAAUUAGCGGAUGACUUGUGGCUGGGGGUGAAAGGCCAAUCAAACCGGGAGAUAGCUGGUUCUCCCCGAAAGCUAUUUAGGUAGCGCCUCGUGAACUCAUCUCCGGGGGUAGAGCACUGUUUCGGCAAGGGGGUCAUCCCGACUUACCAACCCGAUGCAAACUGCGAAUACCGGAGAAUGUUAUCACGGGAGACACACGGCGGGUGCUAACGUCCGUCGUGAAGAGGGAAACAACCCAGACCGCCAGCUAAGGUCCCAAAGUCAUGGUUAAGUGGGAAACGAUGUGGGAAGGCCCAGACAGCCAGGAUGUUGGCUUAGAAGCAGCCAUCAUUUAAAGAAAGCGUAAUAGCUCACUGGUCGAGUCGGCCUGCGCGGAAGAUGUAACGGGGCUAAACCAUGCACCGAAGCUGCGGCAGCGACGCUUAUGCGUUGUUGGGUAGGGGAGCGUUCUGUAAGCCUGUGAAGGUGUACUGUGAGGUAUGCUGGAGGUAUCAGAAGUGCGAAUGCUGACAUAAGUAACGAUAAAGCGGGUGAAAAGCCCGCUCGCCGGAAGACCAAGGGUUCCUGUCCAACGUUAAUCGGGGCAGGGUGAGUCGACCCCUAAGGCGAGGCCGAAAGGCGUAGUCGAUGGGAAACAGGUUAAUAUUCCUGUACUUGGUGUUACUGCGAAGGGGGGACGGAGAAGGCUAUGUUGACCGGGCGACGGUUGUCCCGGUUUAAGCGUGUAGGCUGGUUUUCCAGGCAAAUCCGGAAAAUCAAGGCUGAGGCGUGAUGACGAGGCACUACGGUGCUGAAGCAACAAAUGCCCUGCUUCCAGGAAAAGCCUCUAAGCAUCAGGUAACAUCAAAUCGUACCCCAAACCGACACAGGUGGUCAGGUAGAGAAUACCAAGGCGCUUGAGAGAACUCGGGUGAAGGAACUAGGCAAAAUGGUGCCGUAACUUCGGGAGAAGGCACGCUGAUAUGUAGGUGAAGUCCCUCGCGGAUGGAGCUGAAAUCAGUCGAAGAUACCAGCUGGCUGCAACUGUUUAUUAAAAACACAGCACUGUGCAAACACGAAAGUGGACGUAUACGGUGUGACGCCUGCCCGGUGCCGGAAGGUUAAUUGAUGGGGUUAGCGCAAGCGAAGCUCUUGAUCGAAGCCCCGGUAAACGGCGGCCGUAACUAUAACGGUCCUAAGGUAGCGAAAUUCCUUGUCGGGUAAGUUCCGACCUGCACGAAUGGCGUAAUGAUGGCCAGGCUGUCUCCACCCGAGACUCAGUGAAAUUGAACUCGCUGUGAAGAUGCAGUGUACCCGCGGCAAGACGGAAAGACCCCGUGAACCUUUACUAUAGCUUGACACUGAACAUUGAGCCUUGAUGUGUAGGAUAGGUGGGAGGCUUAGAAGUGUGGACGCCAGUCUGCAUGGAGCCGACCUUGAAAUACCACCCUUUAAUGUUUGAUGUUCUAACGUUGACCCGUAAUCCGGGUUGCGGACAGUGUCUGGUGGGUAGUUUGACUGGGGCGGUCUCCUCCUAAAGAGUAACGGAGGAGCACGAAGGUUGGCUAAUCCUGGUCGGACAUCAGGAGGUUAGUGCAAUGGCAUAAGCCAGCUUGACUGCGAGCGUGACGGCGCGAGCAGGUGCGAAAGCAGGUCAUAGUGAUCCGGUGGUUCUGAAUGGAAGGGCCAUCGCUCAACGGAUAAAAGGUACUCCGGGGAUAACAGGCUGAUACCGCCCAAGAGUUCAUAUCGACGGCGGUGUUUGGCACCUCGAUGUCGGCUCAUCACAUCCUGGGGCUGAAGUAGGUCCCAAGGGUAUGGCUGUUCGCCAUUUAAAGUGGUACGCGAGCUGGGUUUAGAACGUCGUGAGACAGUUCGGUCCCUAUCUGCCGUGGGCGCUGGAGAACUGAGGGGGGCUGCUCCUAGUACGAGAGGACCGGAGUGGACGCAUCACUGGUGUUCGGGUUGUCAUGCCAAUGGCACUGCCCGGUAGCUAAAUGCGGAAGAGAUAAGUGCUGAAAGCAUCUAAGCACGAAACUUGCCCCGAGAUGAGUUCUCCCUGACUCCUUGAGAGUCCUGAAGGAACGUUGAAGACGACGACGUUGAUAGGCCGGGUGUGUAAGCGCAGCGAUGCGUUGAGCUAACCGGUACUAAUGAACCGUGAGGCUUAACCUU